UCCCCAGUGGCGCAAUUGGUUAGCGCACGGUACUUAUAAGUCAGUGCUUGUGAGCUAUGCCGGGGUUGUGAGUUCGAGCCUCACCUGGGGAA
rfam:Ixodes scapularis strain Wikel colony gcontig_1107728882148, whole genome shotgun sequence.